rnacentral:rRNA from 1 species
GCAUAUCAAUAAGCGGAGGAAAAGAAACCAACAGGGAUUGCCCUAGUAACGGCGAGUGAAGCGGCAACAGCUCAAAUUUGAAAUCUGGCUCUCGGGCCCGAGUUGUAAUUUGUAGAGGAUACUUUUGAUGCGGUGCCUUCCGAGUUCCCUGGAACGGGACGCCAUAGAGGGUGAGAGCCCCGUCUGGUUGGAUGCCAAAUCUCUGUAAAGUUCCUUCGACGAGUCGAGUAGUUUGGGAAUGCUGCUCUAAAUGGGAGGUAUAUGUCUUCUAAAGCUAAAUACCGGCCAGAGACCGAUAGCGCACAAGUAGAGUGAUCGAAAGAUGAAAAGCACUUUGAAAAGAGAGUUAAAAAGUACGUGAAAUUGUUGAAAGGGAAGCGUUUAUGACCAGACUUGGGCUUGGUUAAUCAUCUGGGGUUCUCCCCAGUGCACUUUUCCAGUCCAGGCCAGCAUCAGUUUUCGCCGGGGGAUAAAGACUUCGGGAAUGUGGCUCUCUUCGGGGAGUGUUAUAGCCCGUUGUGUAAUACCCUGGCGGGGACUGAGGUUCGCGCAUCUGCAAGGAUGCUGGCGUAAUGGUCAUCAACGACCCGUCUUGAAACACGGACCAA